ACAAAUUGUAGCAGCGUUGUUUGGUGUCUAAAUGCGUAUCUGCUACGCAAAAUCGUAAAGGUUGGCAGGUCUGGUCCUGGGUAGGAAGUAGUAGAAAGAAAAGCGCAUGCAUCUGUCAUCGCUUCUCUUUUUGCGCUUGCUGAGUGACCUAGCUAACUAGUUGGUUUAAAACCAACUUCCAAUUGCAAUGGAACGAGCCAAAUGGUAGCUGAAAGUUUUGCAAAUUCAGCCAUCGCUUCCGGACAAUUACCGUACUUGCACAGGAACAACACUGACUAAUACUGAAUGCGGAGAAUGUCCUGACAGAACAUUUUCAGAAAAUUAUUUUUCUGCAUUCUGCAAACCACACACAGAUUGCCAAUCCUUGGUACUUCAGGAAAUUACAGCUGGAACAAACACAUCAGACAGUGAAUGUGGACCAAGAAAUUAUCCUCGUUCCAGAGUUGCUGGGCUUGUGCCUGCGGUGCUUGUAGUACUACUAUUAACUGUCAUUUUAGGCAAGAUAAUGAAGAGUGAACAUAAUCGCCAGAGAGAACAGCAGAAUGAAGAGAGGAGAAUGAAGAACAUGG